rnacentral:rRNA from 1 species
GACGAAGGGGGCUAGCGUUGCUCGGAAUCACUGGGCGUAAAGCGCACGUAGGCGGAUUGCUAAGUCAGGGGUGAAAUCCUGGAGCUCAACUCCAGAACUGCCUUUGAUACUGGCGACCUUGAGUCCGGGAGAGGUGAGUGGAACUGCGAGUGUAGAGGUGAAAUUCGUAGAUAUUCGCAAGAACACCAGUGGCGAAGGCGGCUCACUGGCCCGGUACUGACGCUGAGGUGCGAAAGCGUGGGGAGCAAACAGG